rnacentral:rRNA from 1 species
UACGUAGGGGGCUAGCGUUGUCCGGAAUCAUUGGGCGUAAAGAGCGUGUAGGCGGCCCGGUAAGUCCGCUGUGAAAGUCGGGGGCUCAACCCUCGAAUGCCGGUGGAUACUGUCGGGCUAGAGUGCGGAAGAGGCGAGUGGAAUUCCUGGUGUAGCGGUGAAAUGCGCAGAUAUCAGGAGGAACACCAGCGGCGAAGGCGGCGCUCUGGGCCGGAACUGACGCUGAGGAGCGAAAGCGUGGGUAGCAAACAGG